UUGAAUAUUUGAGGGAAUUAAUUAACUAUUAAGGCUGUUGUGGCCAAUGCAUGUCAUGUUAUAAGACCCACUCGCUUUUUAUUUUUAACUAUUAAGGCUGUUGUGGCCUACAAAUGCUAUAAAACCUGACUGUUUUAUUGUUAUAAACAUGUUCCAUUACAAUUCUAUUGUAAUGAAACUUUCUUUUCCCCUCUUUUUGGCACUUUUAUAGCAGGGCCAAUCUGUAGAACAGACAAAUGAAAGGCACAAUGCUUAUCUUGACUGUCUUUGCUUCCUUCUGGCUUCACGUUGGUGUUGCAGGCUUGCAGCUCUCCACAGUAAGCAUGUUUUGUUUAUUUUUUCCUUUCACCAAAUCAAUAAAAUAUCUUUAUUAUAAGAUCAAUUUUAAGAAAAUUUAUGUUUUUGUGAUGAUAAUUGUGUGAUUGAUUAGAGAUUGUGUGUUUUGGAUUCUAUCUCAUGGAUAAAGUUGGAUUAUGUUUAGAAUUGGAAUAAUGUGUUCAUGCAUUGGGACGUAGCCAGGAUUUUGAUCGAGCCGGGGCACAUUUAAAAUCAAAUACGACUCGAAUGCGCGAUUGUUCGUGUGAUAAGUCCUCAUUUGGGAAACUGUAUUGUGGGCCCCAUAAACUCCAAAUGGGAGCUUGCCGCAUGUACAAUUGUGCUCCUUAUAGAGUGCGUCUGUAUGCAUAUAAUUGAAAUCCUAUUUAAAGUAUAAUACAUUUCUAAAAAUUUAGAUAUA
rnacentral:lncRNA from 1 species